UUAGGUUGGCUCAGUGGUCAGAGCAUAGGUCUCGUAACCGAAAGGUCGCGGGAUCGAAUCCCGCUAGAGGCUGAAA
rnacentral:tRNA from 1 species